rnacentral:rRNA from 1 species
GACGAACGCUGGCGGCGUGCUUAACACAUGCAAGUCGAACGGAAAGGCCCUGCUUUUGUGGGGUGCUCGAGUGGCGAACGGGUGAGUAACACGUGAGUAACCUGCCCUUGACUUUGGGAUAACUUCAGGAAACUGGGGCUAAUCCCGGAUAGGAGCUCCUGCUGCAUGGUGGGGGUUGGAAAGUUUCGGCGGUUGGGGAUGGACUCGCGGCUCAUCAGCUUGUUGGUUGGGUAGUGGCUUACCAAGGCUUUGACGGGUAGCCGGCCUGAGAGGAGGACCGGCCACAUUGGGACUGGGAUACGGCCCAGACUCGUACGGGAGGCAACAGUGGGGAAUAUUGCACAGUGGGCGGGAGCCUGGUGCAGCAACGCCGCGUGCGGGAUGACGGCCUUCGGGUAGUGAACCGCAUUCGCCUGUGACGAAGCGUGAGUGACGGUAAUGGGUGAAGAAGCACCGGCUAACUACGUG